GGCCCUUGUCUCAAGGUACACAU
rnacentral:snRNA from 1 species